rnacentral:rRNA from 1 species
UUGAACGCUGGCGGCAGGCUUAACACAUGCCAGUCGAGCGGAGAUGAGGUGCUUGCACCUUAUCUUAGCGGCGGACGGGUGAGUAAUGCUUAGGAAUCUGCCAUUUAGUGGGGGACAACAUUCCGAAAGGAAUGCUAAUACCGCAUACGUCCUACGGGAGAAAGCAGGGGAUCUUCGGACCUUGCGCUAAAUGAUGAGCCUAAGUCGGAUUAGCUAGUUGGUGGGGUAAAGGCCUACCAAGGCGACGAUCUGUAGCGGGUCUGAGAGGAUGAUCCGCCACACUGGGACUGAGACACGGCCCAGACUCCUACGGGAGGCAGCAGUGGGGAAUAUUGGACAAUGGGGGGAACCCUGAUCCAGCCAUGCCGCGUGUGUGAAGAAGGCCUUAUGGUUGUAAAGCACGUUAAGCGAGGAGGAGGCUACUGAGACUAAUACUCUUGGAUAGUGGACGUUACUCGCAGAAUAAGCACCGGCUAACUCUGUG